ACCGACUUCCUAUUGGUUGGGAGGCUAGCGGGUAAUUUGCAAAGGGGCGGGGCCUGCGGGGCGGGGCGGAAGGCUGGGUACGCGGGGCGGCGGCGGCGGCGGCGGCGGCGGCGGAGCGCGGGCUGGCGGGUCGGGGCACCGGGGCCCGGAGGCCUGGGGGCCCCUAGGGGGUAUCUCGGGGCCCGGGGGCCAGGGAGACGUUGGUCCCGGGCCGACCCAGCCCUGGCGGCUCGGAUCCGGCCUUGGGAAACUCCACGGUGGCGCCAGCGGGAGCGGGGCCGCCGCAGCCGAGCCCCCCAGAGCGGAGCCGGGCUCCGAGGAUGUCCGCUCCGGGCUGCCGGGCUCGGGACUUGGAGCUCUGAACUCCAGCGCCCGAGCCAGACGCUCACCGCUUGCGCCCCGGGGGCGGGCAGGGUGGGGGAGGGCGGCGUGCAGGCUGCGGACUCGGGUUCCAGCCCUUGGGCUCUGGGCUCUAGCUUCCGCGCGCGGUGCCAGGCUCGGGCUCCGGGCUGCAGCGCUCGGGCUGGGGCUCGCCUUGUGCGCUUCCCGGUGCCAGCGCUGGGGCUCGGGACUGCAGCGCUGCGAGCUCUGGUUGCAGGGCUCAGUCUGUCUCCUGGGCUCCGCGGUGCCCGGCUCGGGCGCCGGCGCUUGGGCUCUAGCGCUCCUGCUUGGAUUCGUCUCCUGGGCCGCGGCUCCGGGCUCGGGCUCGGGCUCGUCUCCUAUGUUCCCCGAUGCCGGCACCUGGGCUCCGGAUUCCACCCGAGCUGUGGGUGCGGCCCCAGCCCCGGGUCCUGCGCUCCCCCGGCGCCAGGUCUGGGCUCCGCGCUCCUCCGGAUGCGUCUCCUGCGCUCCGCGGGACCCAGCUCCAGGACUCGGGCGCGUCUCCUGUGCUUCCCGGCGCCAGUGCUUGGCUUCCAGUUCCAUCUCGGGCUCCGCCUGCUGCGUUCCGGGGAUAAACUGGCUGAGAAGGGAACCAACUGGGUGAAGAUGAAGUAUAGAGGUCCUGAGGGGGCCCCAGCUGUCAGCACAGUCCCCUUGCCCCAUCACGAGUCCAUUUCCUUCCUGGUUAACUCUAACUGGAAGGUGCCCGACGCCCACCUUGGAAGACGGUGCUCAUUGUAUACUUGAGGAUCCUGGGAGGGAUGGAGACCCUCCCAGGCCCCCCCAAGUCCUCUCACAGAAGUGUCCUGGGAGCGGAGCCCUUCGGAAAAGCCGCAGUUGGGCCUCUCGGCUCCGGACCUGUGCUUUGCUUUGCUUGGAGAGGGCGACAGCUUCUCAUAGCGCCAAUAAAGAAUUAUCUAAGGGCAGGGCGCCACUGCUUGGUGUUUGUGCUCGACAGCCCACGUUUGAACAAGUUGCAUCCUGGGGGUGGGCGUCUCCUUGGCUGCUGAGGCCUCUUGGGCUCCCUGGGUAGGAAGCUGGCAAGGUCCAGGGCUCAGGAUGCUCUUACCUGCCAGGGAUCCUGAGGGAGGUGACUGUGGGAGGGGAAAGGCCCUGAGCACUAGUGCUUUCCCGGCCUGAGGGCUAGAGACCAACGGUGCCCCUGGUGGCCCCUAAAGGGGCCUGAGAAGUUAGAAAAAACGGACCGUGGGAGUGCUGGGCUCCAUGGCCACUGAGGUCGCUACCAGGGGUCCACCCCUGACCCCAGCAGUCAUUUGGCCUCCCCUGGGCAGAGCAUUCCGGCU
ensembl:lncRNA